GUCCAUCCCCUUCAAAGUGAUUUGCUAGUGGAAGUUGGGAGCCUCUUCGAAGAAGGCUUCGUAAGUGGAUGUAGGUUAUUUUGACUGAACCACUUUAAAUUGGUAUGUUCCUUGAAUGUGUGAGUUCUUACUUUCCUGAAAUUGUUAUUUACACUACUGCUAGCUUUCGGUUUUCAUCUACUCAAGUUACUAUCGAAACAAAAUCUUAUCGUAUUUACAAAUUCGUUUUUAAACUUACAAGUUUUAAUCCCCU
rnacentral:lncRNA from 1 species